GAUGAACGCUGGCGGCGUGCCUAAUACAUGCAAGUCGAGCGAACGGACGCGGAGCUUGUUUUUCUGAUGUUAGCGGCGGACGGGUGAGUAACACGUGGAUACCCUACUUAUAAGACUGGGAUAACUUCGGGAAACCGGAGCUAAUACCGGAUAAUAUUUUGCACCGCGUGGUUGAAAAGUGAAAGACGGUCUUGCUGUCACUUAUAGAUGGUUCCGCGCGGCAUUAGCUAGUUGGUAAGGUAACGGCUUAUGAAGGCAACGAGGCAUAGGCGACUUGAGCGGGGGAUCGGCCACACUGGAACUGGGACACGCUCAAGGCUCCUAAGAUAGGCAGCAGUAGGGUACCUUCCGCAAUGGGCGGAAGCCUGACGGAGCAACGCCGCGUGAGUGAUGAAGGUCUUCGGAUCGUAAAACCCUGUUAUGAGGGAAGAACAUAUGUGUAAGUAACUGUGCACAUCUUGACGGUACCUAAUCAGAAAGCCACGGCUAACUACGUG
rnacentral:rRNA from 1 species